UACGUAGGGUGCGAGCGUUAAUCGGAAUUACUGGGCGUAAAGCGUGCGCAGGCGGCAGAGCAAGUCGAGUGUGAAAGCCCCGGGCUUAACUUGGGAAUUGCGCUCGAAACUACUUUGCUGGAGUGUGGCAGAGGAAGGUGGAAUUCCACGUGUAGCGGUAAAAUGCGUAGAGAUGUGGAGGAACACCAAUGGCGAAGGCAGCCUUCUGGGCCAACACUGACGCUCAUGCACGAAAGCGUGGGGAGCAAACAGG
rnacentral:rRNA from 1 species